GACAGAGGGUGCAAACGUUGUCCGGAAUCACUGGGCGUAAAGGGCGUGUAGGCGGCAAGGUAAGUCGGGCGUGAAAUCCCUGGGCUCAACCCAGGAACUGCACUCGAAACUACUUUUCUUGAGUGCCGGAGAGGAAAGCGGAAUUCCUGGUGUAGAGGUGAAAUUCGUAGAUAUCAGGAGGAACACCAGUGGCGGAGGCGGCUUUCUGGACGGUAACUGACGCUGAGACGCGAAAGCGUGGGGAGCAAACAGG
rnacentral:rRNA from 1 species